CCGGCGGGGCCGCGGCGAGAGGCGCUGAGGCGACAAAAUGGCGGCGGGCGGACAGCGCGGGAAGGGCCCGCGGCGCCCUCAGGGCCCCUCGUUUCCCCCCAGUCCCCUUCCCCGGCCCGUUUUGAGGUGUUUUUUCCUCUCAUAGCGUGAAGAUUUUGGGGGGUUGCAGCCAUCGCUCUCUUCACCGCGUGGAAAAUGCCCAAUUUAAAAACAGAACAAAACAAACAAACAAACAAAAAAAAAACAGAAAAAAGCACCAAAAAGCCCCAAACAGCCGAGGACUGAAGGGAAGGAACUGCCUACUCACGGCCGCCAUUCUGGGAAAUGCAGGACUGUUUGUGUAACGCCCACUCUACAGCAGAUAGCUUCUCUGUCACACAUGACUUCAACAUGCACAGUCCAAGCAGUCACUUGUACACAAGGGGAGCAGGUAUUGGCACCUCCUCGUUAGCCUUCGUCAAUGAGAAUAUUGGCUUUGGUGUUGCAUGAGUGCCGCUGGCUGACCAGUGGAGGGGCCCUACCCUGCUCAGCUGGAGCAACGCUUUCUGAGCAGUGAUUUCAUUGCCUGGUUGCCGCAGUGAUUUGGAGCCCAGCUGUGACUUUAUGCUUUUCUGGCCAAAAUUUAGCUGAGGGCUGCUGUACCCUGUGGGAAUUGUACGACUUUUCCUUGGCAGUUUGGGACAACUUAGAGUUUGCUUAGGAGUGUUGAACUUCUACUGCCACAUGCUUUGGAUUGAAGAAUUACUAGAACGACAUCUGUGAGGUCUCCAAGCUAAACAAAACCUGAAUUUCUGGUGCAAAAAGCAACCUGGAAGACUGAAGCCCUCUGCCUAGUGGAUGAAAUGCUUCACAUUUGGAAAAAAAACUAGCAGGCUUUGUUUGCGACAGCUCCUUGUCUGUGGAUGUCCCUCCAGCCAGCAGUGACCCUGUGUGAGGUUUCUUUGAAGGACCUGGGAGAUCGUGUGGCUUUCUCUUGUCCCGCAGAGGUGCUUCCCUGGCAGGGAGGGAGGAAAAUGGUUGGAAAUGCUGUCACAGGAGGCACGCUUACUUGGCUAGGGGAAAAACUUGGUGUGGAAAAGCCACUUGGUGGACGGUUCGGGGAAGGAGGGGCUCCUUUCUCUCCAAAAUGGAAUCCCUUAAGGAAGGUAUGGACAAGUAGUUCCUGCUCUUUGGGGUUCUGACCAGUUAAAACAAAGAGCUGGGCCCAUUUCCAUGGAGAAAUGUGUGGUAGAGCGCAUUGGCAAUGCUUUUCCCUGCGUGCACGUGGCUCGGUCGCAUGCUUAACUAAUAGAUGGUUUGCAUGCAAGAGGUUAUUGGUUUUUUAUUUUGAAUCAGUCCAUCUCCAUUGGGCAGAGCAGCCUCAUGCCCCCCAUCGCUGGGGAAACUGAGGCACGGGGCCACUAUGGGAUUACAGGCAGAGCUGGGGAUAAGGCUCAGGUUUGCCGGGGCUCAGGCCGACGUGCGUCAGAGGGCUAAUUAAAUGGAGAGAUUUGCAAAGGGAAGUGACCUAUAGCUCGAUGGCUUGGACCAGUUGCUGGACUUGAUCCUUCUGGGUGCCUUCCAACUCGAACCUGCAGUUUGGUCAGGGGAAGGACUGGGCAGCAAGGUGCCCAUGGCCAAGAGACAGCGAGAUUUGGUGAGCUCCCUCCAGUGCUGGAGCCUGGCCCACGGCCAGCCCACGGGGUUCGUAUAGCACUGAACUUUGGAGUCAUUACAGAUAAGCAGCGCUAUAGGCUAAUAAAAGGCUCUGCGACACAGGGCCCUUGUCUGCCUGCACCAAAAUUAA